AUGAACGCUGGCGGCGUGCCUAAUACAUGCAAGUCGAGCGAACAGACGAGGAGCUUGCUCCUCUGAUGUUAGCGGCGGACGGGUGAGUAACACGUGGAUAACUUACCUAUAAGACUGGGAUAACUUCGGGAAACCGGAGCUAAUACCGGAUAAUAUAUUGAACUGCAUGGUUCAAUAGUGAAAGACGGUUUUGCUGUCAUUUAUAGAUGGAUCCGCGCCGCAUUAGCUAGUUGGUAAGGUAACGGCUUACCAAGGCAACGAUGCGUAGCCGACCUGAGAGGGUGAUCGGCCACACUGGAACUGAGACACGGUCCAGACUCCUACGGGAGGCAGCAGUAGGGAAUCUUCCGCAAUGGGCGAAAGCCUGACGGAGCAACGCCGCGUGAGUGAUGAAGGUCUUCGGAUCGUAAAACUCUGUUAUUAGUGAAGAACAAAUGUGUAAGUAACUAUGCACGUCUUGACGGUACCUAAUCAGAAAGCCACGGCUAACUACGUG
rnacentral:rRNA from 1 species